AGUUUGCCAUAAAAGUUGUUUUGAAAACAACAAAAAGACUUAAGUCUACAAGCUA
rnacentral:tRNA from 1 species